rnacentral:tRNA from 1 species
UACAUCUUAUUUUAUGUUGAAUUAAAGUUUUUGACACUUUAGGGGAUAGUUCAAAUCUAUCAGAUGUAA